rnacentral:rRNA from 1 species
UACGUAGGGUGCGAGCGUUGUCCGGAAUUACUGGGCGUAAAGGGCUCGUAGGUGGUUUGUCGCGUUGUUCGUGAAAACUCACAGCUUAACUGUGGGCGUGCGGGCGAUACGGGCAGACUGGAGUACUGCAGGGGAGACUGGAAUUCCUGGUGUAGCGGUGGAAUGCGCAGAUAUCAGGAGGAACACCGGUGGCGAAGGCGGGUCUCUGGGCAGUAACUGACGCUGAGGAGCGAAAGCGUGGGGAGCGAACAGG